UUCUCUUUGCAUCCUAACGUGGGAUCUACAUCUGAUUUGUCUUAUUCCUGAUGAUGUUAGCAUUGACCGCUAAUGGUGGUAUCUGCUGUGUUUGAGAUUUGACUUGCUGAAUGAGCCAAGCAUAGUACCUGAAAUAAAUCUAACUCAGUCAGGUGAUACUGGCUUUAUAAAACUAUUUGGCAUCCACAGCUCAUGAGAAUUAUUCACAAAUAUCCCCUCUUGCCCCUGGGUUUUGUGAUUGGGACCUGAGUGUACUGGAUCUGACAUGUGGGCCCAUCCUCUGGGCCCUGGAGAUCAAUCCCUGAACAUAGCAGGGAGAAGCAUACUGUUCCCAAGUCCCUCCUGGGAUGCUCAAGCUGGAUCAAUGUCCCUCCACUUCGGGCUGUGUCCCACUCUGCUGAAGUCACCAGCAACAGUACCAGGGAUGGCCAGCAGGCAGUGCACUCACAGUCCAAGCACCUCUUUUUUCUGCUACAGGACCUCCAGAGAAAAGGUAUGAGCUCCAUUCCCUGUGGGAGCCUCUGUGUGGUGGCUCAAUUUUUUCUCUCAGUAGCCAUGGGAGGGGGAGGGGAAGGGAAGAAAAAGAGUCUAGGUGGAGGAAAGUCCACUCUCUGGUCUUCUUCAAACCUCUCUCUGGGAGGCAGUCCACCCAGAAUGACGGGUGUGUGGAAUCACUCUCAUCAUCCAGGACCCACUGCACUCAUGUGGCUCCUGCAGUCUGGGCCAGAGUUGAGAAAUGUCUGUGUUGGGAUGAGGAAGAUGGAACCAGAAUGUUUGGGGCACCCUGGUGAAGACAAAGGCAGCAGGCAGGGGAUGGAGAACAGCUUCCUACUUUGUCUGUUGCUACCACUCCAAAGUGAAAAUCAUAAUGCCUACUUUUGCCAGAUGGGAAAUAGAAGAUGAGCUCCU